UUUGCUGUCGGGCUCACGGUUCCAGUUUGUCUAACCUAAUACUGGCAGUCAUUGGUGUUCUCCAUCAGCACCUUUUCAGCGUCUGGAGGAAAUGUUUCAUAAUGGAUCUCAGCAGCAGACCAGCUCACGCUGAGGCUCUAAACGUUCCUGCUGCUCGUCUUCAAAGGUGAACGUGCACGCUCUGAUUCCUCUUCUGUCAGCCGUCUCUCUGCUCUUUCAACUUCCUCUGCUCCGUCCUGUUAUUUCUCUGUAAAGCUUUCAACUGCUUUUUUUUAAAAAACUGAUGUCAGCUAGUGUUGGGAAUGUUACAGUUACUCACUACUUUAUCUGAAAACUGUUUGUAACGGAAUUCUCCUAAAAAGCAAAAAUGAAGAUUUUUCUGAUCAGUUUUCACAAACCAGUAUAAAUGAGUAUGUGAUUGGUGACACCUGUAGGGUGUGGCUCUGCCAUUAAGGCCCCUUUAAAUAGGAGUGGGCGGGGCUGCCCAGCAGUGCCAGAUUCUUGUGGGUGGCCAGGUUGACUGCUGGGCCCACACUGUUUGUGCAGCAGCUGUGAGCCAUUGGGAGCUAUGGUAUCUAAAGGCAGACCUACAGGGUGAAAGACUGGGUGUGGGUGCUGGAUACCACAGGUAUGUGGUAUUUUAUUGCUUUGAUAUUUUGAAGAACUAGUUAUUUUACCAAAUGAUUGAUUGUUUUUAUUGUUUCUGUUCCCCAGUCAUCAUAUCGCUACCUGCUGUCCUUUUUAUAUUGUUUUUAGUUUUACUAAAAUGCAGAUGCAAACUAA